UGAAGACUUAAUUAUCUUAACGUAAUACUGAAAUUAUAGGAGCAUAGGUAUAUUCAUCAUACUAAAGCACAUUUUAAUAUUUUAAUACCUAAUGAAAAGAAAGAGUAUUUGUAAAUGAAAUUCCAGUUAAGUAUUUUGGGAUGUUAAGACAAAAUAUAGUUAUCCUCCAUCCAUUGUUUGACAAGGUAUCAGUUGACUAACACUUGACUUUGCCCCUGUUAAUUAUGAUAGGGUGAAGAUUUCUUUUCUUGCAUUAAUUGUGGUAACUUUGAUUUGCAGGCAUGAACUAAUCACAUUUGUGGUUAAUAUUUUUUCUUCAUAUAGAUAAGAUAUUUUUGUUGAGAUAAAUAUUUUAAAUGCCGCCACACUUUGGUGGAUAUUUUUUUCAUAUCCUCAGACUGAUGAAGUAUUUCUGGAAGCCCAGAUUCAGAAUAUGACAACCUCACCUAUGUUUAUGGAGAAAGUUUCACUGGAGCCAUCUAUUAUGUACAAUGUAACAGAAUUAAAUUCAGUCAGCCAAGCUGGAGAAUGUGUGUCUACGUUUGGGUCAAGAGCAUAUUUGCAACCAAUGGAUACACGCCAGUACUUAUACUGCCUAAAGCCAAAGAAUGAAUUUGCAGAAAAAGCAGGCAUCAUUAAGGGAGUAACAGUAAUUGGAAAAUUGGAUAUAGUAUGGAAAACAAAUCUAGGUGAAAGGGGAAGGUUACAGACCAGCCAACUUCAAAGAAUGGCUCCAGGUUAUGGAGAUGUUAGGUUGUCUUUGGAGGCAAUACCAGAUACCGUAAACCUUGAAGAACCUUUUCAUAUUACCUGUAAAAUAACAAACUGCAGUGAAAGGACUAUGGAUCUGGUUUUGGAAAUGUGCAAUACCAAUUCCAUCCACUGGUGUGGAAUUUCAGGAAGACAGCUGGGAAAGCUGCAUCCAAGUUCUUCGCUCUGUCUUGCCCUUACUCUGCUUUCUUCAGUACAGGGACUG
rnacentral:sRNA from 1 species